CGUGUUUGACGGAACCUGCGAUAGAAUCCGCUCGGGAACAUUUCCACACAGGAAGAUCCACGCAGGCAGUCGGUUUAUUUUCGGUGCAACUGCCUCGGACAUUAACCGCCCCGCCUCCACAGUCACAUACUGUAAGAACUAAGAAAAAAAA